rnacentral:lncRNA from 12 species
ACAGGGAACCCCAGAGGGACCUGAGUCCUGGCUUACAGCGCUACCUUCCCCUCUCCUGGACCUGGACACUGUCUUCAUGGCCCACCCCCCGCCACCAGGCUACGUCAGUUUGCCCUUUCUCUAACAUGCUGGUCAUAUUAUCCAUGCCAGUGCGGAAAGACUAAAUCAAUCCAUAUAUAUAGUACUUAGCAGAAAAGUGCCCCACUGUAGUAGGCGUUAAAUAAAUGUAAGCAAUUGUGAUCCAGCGCCAGCUCCCAAACACAGUUUCAGAAAUCACCAUCAAUGAGGCCAUCGGCAAGCCACGAGGGCAGAGUGGAUGUCAGAGGGGGAUGGUGGUUCCUGGAUGAUGGGGCGAUGCCCGCCUCUGCCCUGAGUGAAGGAAGCAUAACAAAUUAGCCCUGCUUUCCAUAUUGCUGGAUCUCAUCCAAAGCAUCCCAAGAGUUGGUCAUGCCGCAAGUGGACCAGCCCUCCUUCCUGUCGACACCAGACCACCCCAUGCUACCUCCUAGAAUUCCGGGAAGGCCCAGCCCAUCUCAUUUCAUGUCUCCCUCCAGCCUUUUCCGGUGAUUUGUCACUGCCUGGUGCCUGAGUGAAAGCAGGUUUCAGAAGUGAGCAUCACAGGGAGAAAGAAGAGCUGUGGUCCCCAGGAGUCCUGAACAAGGCAUUUGGGAGCAGUGGGUAGACAUGUGUGACUCCUGGGAACAGAUGGCAUGGCGGCCGGACACUAUAGAGGAGGAAGAGCUGAUAACCAGUGGGACCACUUUCCACCACAGACUUUGGAUUCAACAAUUCAGUUUCUAGAACUUUACAGGAUGUCUGGGCCACAGUCAGGCUUCCUUGGGGCUGCUGCUUUUCCCUCUCGUGCUCUUCACUGGGCUUCUGGUGGCCAUCCUCGUCCAAGCUCCCAACAGAACUAACACGACUCUGUCACUGCCUGCCAGGAAGUGGGGGCCCGACUCGUCGUUACCGAAAGUGCCGGGGAGCAGGUGCAUCUGUCCAGGGAGUCAGCCUGACCUGGGGCAUGCCCCUGGCCACUGGUCCACUGGGCACAAGAGAGCCAGAUGAGAUUUUCUGGAAGAGAGACUGCCUGCUUCACUUGGGGGGGCGGGGGAGGAUAAGAACCAGGCAUCCUGCAAGGAGGUACAAAUGAGAUCUGGACACCUGGGUCUGGGGGACACGUAAAACAUAAAUAAGCUCCGGUGGUGUCCUGACAAAUGGCUAACACUUAGCUCUCUGGAGGGAGCGGGGGAUAAGUCCUGAUUUGGAGUGUUGGCCAGUUUCCCUGGCGUACGUACUGCCACUGUGGCUGAUCUCAAGCCAUUCACGUGAUGCCGUCACUGCGGAGCUGACAAGAUACACGGUGGGGACCUGGCUUGAUUUGACUCCAGCACGUCAAACCCAGGCAUGAGUCAACUCAUGGGUACAUGCUUGGCACAUGUAAGAGCACACAAACAUGCAGUAUUACCAGGUGUGUGUGCUGAGAGACCAGUUGUGUGCAUGUGUCUGCAAGUCGGAACAUACGUGCUCAUAGGAUACAGAUGUGAGAGGUGCUCAGGACCUGGCCUGGCAGGAAGCGUAAGGUCCCACUGAAAGACGAGCUUGCUGCCAGGCAACUGGAGAGAUGCUGAGCCCAGAAAGUGGGGUCAGAGCCCCCUCCUGACUUCCCUACGUCCACCAGAACUUCCUACAGCUGCAGACUUCCAAGAGAAGCUGCUUCACCUGGGAGACUGGGUGGCUCAGUUGGUUAAGCGGCUGCCUUCGGCUCAGGUCAUGGUCCUGGGGUCCUGGGAUUGAGUCCCACGUCAGGCUCCCUGCUCAGUGAGGAGUCCACUUCUCUCUCUGCCUCUCUCCCCACUUGUGCUCUCUCUCUCUCUAAUAAAUAAAUAAAAUCUUAAAAAAGGAAGGGAAAA